GGAUGUGAGGGCGAUCUGGCUGCAACAUCUGCCAUCCAAAUGAUCACCAGGGCUGAUCUGACUGGCUAGGCAGCUGUCCCCUUCCUCCCUCACUGCUCCAUGUGUAUCCCUCCCAAAGCCACAUGUUCAGUAGGAGAGGACGGCCACCCCAAUUGAGGAUAAAAACACUACAUGCAC
rnacentral:snRNA from 1 species